rnacentral:rRNA from 1 species
CCUACGGGUGGCAGCAGUAGGGAAUAUUGCUCAAUGGGGGAAACCCUGAACCAGCCAAGUAGCGUGCAGGAUGACGGCCCUCCGGGUUGUAAACUGCUUUUAGUUGGGAAUAAAAGGGGGCUCGUGAGCCCCGUAUUGUAUGUACCAUCAGAAAAAGGACCGGCUAAUUCCGUGCCAGCAGCCGCGGUAAUACGGCAGGUCCGGGCGUUAUCCGGAUUUAUUGGGUUUAAAGGGAGCGUAGGCCGGCUUUUAAGUCAGCUGUGAAAGUCCGCGGCUCAACCGUGGAAUUGCAGUUGAAACUGGAUGCCUUGAGUGCACACAGGGAUGCCGGAAUUCAUGGUGUAGCGGUGAAAUGCUUAGAUAUCAUGAAGAACUCCGAUCGCGAAGGCAAGUGUCCGGGGUUCAACUGACGCUGAGGCUCGAAAGUGCGGGUAUCAAACAGGAUUAGAUACCCGGGUAGUC